rnacentral:piRNA from 1 species
UGAAAAAGGGUCAGGAAAGUUGGACUUGC